GGUUUUCUGGGUCGUUGAUCCUCCUCCAAAGAAUUAUCAAAUUCUUCUUCAAUUUGGUUAUCAAAUUCUUCUUGAAAAAGAUUAUCAAAUUCUUCAUUCAAUACUUGUGAAAAUUCAUCAUGAGAAGAUGAAGCCAUUUUGUAUAUAAAUUAAAAAAUGAAAAGAACAAUUUUGUGGAGAUUGAGGUUUUUCUUGGUUUGGUUUGAGGUUUCGUUUGGUAGUAAAUUAUGAAUGUAAAAAAUAUUGUUGACGAUUGUGAACGAGAGUUGUGUUGAGGUUAUAGAAAAUAAGGAUUUUGUGUUGAUUGUGAAUGAAAGUGGUUUGGUAGUGGUUUGGUUUGAGGUUUGGUUUUGUGAACGAUUAUGAAGGAGACUGGGUUGGUAGUUUUGUGGUUUGAGGUUUGGUUUUGUGAACGAUUGUGAAGGAGAGUGGGUUGGUAGUGGUUUGGUUUUGUGAAGGAGACUUGUGUAAAGGUUGUGAACGAGUUGUAAAAACUAAAAAUGACACAAAAGAAAGUGAAUAUAAUUUUUGUGAAAUACAAAGUGAAUGAAAUUGUUUUGAGAAGUGAAAACAAUUGUUGUCAAAGAGAAAGCGAAUGCAAUACAAAG
rnacentral:lncRNA from 1 species